UGCAGUCGAACGAACUCUUCGGAGUUAGUGGCGGACGGGUGAGUAACACGUGGGAACGUGCCUUUUGGUUCGGAAUAACUCAGGGAAACUUGUGCUAAUACCGAAUGUGCCCUUCGGGGGAAAGAUUUAUCGCCAUUAGAGCGGCCCGCGUCUGAUUAGCUAGUUGGUGAGGUAACGGCUCACCAAGGCGACGAUCAGUAGCUGGUCUGAGAGGAUGAUCAGCCACACUGGGACUGAGACACGGCCCAGACUCCUACGGGAGGCAGCAGUGGGGAAUCUUGCGCAAUGGGCGAAAGCCUGACGCAGCCAUGCCGCGUGAAUGAUGAAGGUCUUAGGAUUGUAAAAUUCUUUCACCGGGGACGAUAAUGACGGUACCCGGAGAAGAAGCCCCGGCUAACUUCGUGCCAGCAGCCGCGGUAAUACGAAGGGGGCUAGCGUUGCUCGGAAUUACUGGGCGUAAAGGGCGCGUAGGCGGAUCGUUAAGUCAGGGGUGAAAUCCCGGGGCUCAACCUCGGAAUUGCCCUUGAUACUGGCGAUCUUGAGUAUGAGAGAGGUAUGUGGAACUCCGAGUGUAGAGGUGAAAUUCGUAGAUAUUCGGAAGAACACCAGUGGCGAAGGCGACAUACUGGGCUCAUUACUGACGCUGAGGCGCGAA
rnacentral:rRNA from 1 species